CUGGGUGCUGGGAAAAUCUCGAUUUGGAAACAUUGCCCAUUUUGGACACUGGUUCCGAUCUGUACAUUGAUUUACAUUUUGUACAGGGAGCUUUGACUAAUAGGGUUUACUUAAGAGAGACCGGUUGACUUGUUUUCCUUUCAGACGUCCGUUUGUGGAACAGCGUAGACACUGCAACAUGAGAACUGAUAGCCAGGCUAUCUUUUUUUCCUCUACCCCCAUCACUGUGUUAUCUGGACACUGUAACUUCUAUUGUAGCAGAGACCUUUUAGGUGCACAAGAACCAAAUCCUGUCGUGUGGAAGGAAAAAGGAUUCUGACUUUAGAGCAUGUGCAAAAGAAGUGGCUGUGUCUCAUGUAACCCCCAGCCAGUGUCCUCCAUGCCCAGCCCACCACUGUCUGCUAUGUGAGAGAAUAAGAGGUGCAGCUGGUUUUGGUGUGUCUAAACUCUAGUACUACAGCAUGUUCGGCCAUGUUUCCCUUAGCUGCAGCUGUCUGAGACGUGGCAGGCAAUGGAGGAUCAAAUUUACCGUUGAGGUAACUGGGUACCUUUCCUGUGAAGUUAGUGGGACUUGUGCCUGCCUACAGCAGACCUGAACUUGGCCUGGAGGUUUGCCAUACAGUUUACACAAGCACUCUUCACCAUAUUGCAUGAAUCACCUUUCUCUUCUCACGCCCCCCCCCCCACCACCACCAAAGAAAUGCCAGAGGUGGGCUUAAGAUAAUAAAAGGCAUCCUGGAAAAAUGUCAUAGCCAGUACCCCAUCUCUUUUCUAUGCAAGUGCAAAUGGGUCAGAACAUUCAUGGGAUAUUCCCUGUUGUACAGAUGGGGAAACUGAGGCAAAUAUUUGUUUAUGAUCACACAGCAAUUCAGUAGUGAAGUAGGAAAUAGAAACCAGGUCUCUUGCUGAGUGGGAUUAUGCCUAAUCCAUCUGGCCACAAUACCCCCCUAGCAAUUCACUUCAUCCUCUGCUUAUUUCCCUGUCUGAAAAAUGCUGGAGAGAACUCCCCUCAGAGACAGCCCCUUUGAUUGUUGGCCAUACUUCCAGAAUGCAGAGACUGCGGGGAAGAAGUGGCUCUGGAAAAGGUUUGACAGUUGUGGAUAGUCCGCUGAGCCUGAGCGCCCAGUGUGAUGCUGUGGCCAAAAGAGCUAAUGUGAUCCUGAGAUGUAUAAACAGGAAUCUUGAAUAGGAGCAGAGAGGUCAGUUAUUUUCUCUCUGUAUCUGGCCCUGGUGCGAUCGCUGCUGGAAUGCUGUGUCCACUUCAGGUGCCCACAAUUCAAGAAUGAUGCUGAUAAAUUGGAGCGGGUUCAGAGAAGAGCCAUGAGAAUGUUUAAAGUGUUAGAAAACCUGCCUUGUAGCGAUAGACUCAAAGAGCUCAAUCGAUUUAGCUUAACAGAGAAAGUUAAGCAGUGACUUGAUUACAACCUAUCUCCAUGGGGAACAAAUAUGAAUGGGCUUUUCAGUCUAGCAGAGAAAGGUCUAUCAUGGUCCAACGGCUGGAAGUUGAAGCCAGACACUGUCAGACUGGAGAUAAGGUGAGAGUAAUAAACCAUUGGAAAAAUUUACCAAGGCUUUACCCAAGCCCAUCACCCAGGUCUGAAGCCCUUGAGCUUUGGCUUCAGCGCUGGGUCCCAGCAAGGCUAAUGCCAGACCUGGUGACCCCAUUACAAUGGGGUUUCAACUUGGGGGUCCUGACCCACAGUUUGAGAACCACCGUGCUAGAGGAUCAUGAUGGUCCCUUCUGGCCUUGCAAUCUCUGAAUUAAUGUGAAGUUGGCACUUGAUUAACUGGUCUCUUCAUGUCCUGAGAUGGGAGGGUAUACAGGAGAGAGAAUCCACCUCAGAUCCAACAUGUGUAGUACAAGCUCCCAAAGAGGCUUGGGAAUUUGGAAUGGGACCAGGCUGGUGUGGCUAAAGCAGCAGCAGCCUCUAGGGGGCACACUAUGCAGUUCCCAAAAGUCACACAAUGUGUGUGCCCUGUUGCAAACUGUAGGGGAUGCUAGUUGAUUAAUAACGGAGCCUUGAAGGAGCCCUAUACAUUUACAUACAGCCUGGGAAAAGAGACAGCUGCCCUGAAAUGCUCCAUGCUAGGAACCAAAUGGAAAUAUUUUACCUUGUUACUUUUAAAUGUUUGUAGUUUUUAAACAAAGGGACCAGUUUUCUUCAAACGUGGCUUGUUUUUUGUAGAUUUAAUGGAGACUUUACAAAAUCCCCUUUGGAGAUUAUGCCCUAUCACCUGUGUAGCGAAGUGUGGUUCUGGGGGUGGGUAUUCCAUACUGCAUGCUAGAAAAAUAGCUCAUUUUAAGCUGGAGGGUGGGGGAGGGAGAUUUUCAGCCUGAACUUUGCAUUUCAAACGUUGAAGGCUUGAUUUCUCAUCCGUGAUCACUGUGUUAUUUUCAUGGAACUUGUUCUGAUCACUACGUCAUCCCCUUACAAAAACACCAAAUCGCUUAAACCAGGUUGGAAAGUUUUUUUUGUGUUUUUAAAUAUCAUGUAAGCUGAUCUGUGGGCUGGAAUAGUUUGGUUUCAUUCUGGGUGUGAGGCUAGUGGGUGGGUGCAGGUGCUCAUGCUAGAUAGUGGUCCCUUCUGACCUUACCCUCUCGGACCGAACAGCUGCCUAGGCAGGUGUGAGGGAGGCGCAACUCAGUAAAACAACGGCUCCAGCUGAAAGUCUGAAUGAUUCAGAAGAGAAUCCCUCUUGCCUGUCUUAUUUUAGCCCCACUGCUCCCCGUGUGCCAUGCACGCUUGGUGUCCCUGCAUUUGUAUUGUUGAAAACGACUGACAUCCGCAAUAAAGGAGCACACAGCUGAG